UGCGCACAAUGGCCGCCCGCUCUCAGACACGCUUUGGAGCCGGGCGGAAGGUACAGGCCAGGGCUAGCGCCCUGUGGGCUCUGCCCUGGAGUCACAGCAGGUUCCCCAGCCCGAGGGCAGCUCGAGGUUCACCGCGUGGGCCUCGGGACAGCUUUGACAUAGAUGGGCCUGAAGACACGAGAGAGCCAGGAACGAGGCUUUGGACUUUGGGACGCAGAACAGGCCAGAACCCUAAGUUACUUUCAAAGCUACAAAAGAUCUUUCUUCUUCAUUUUCAAAGCUGAGGACCAAUGGGUAGAGAUGGAAUUCGAAGUUUGGCUUGUUAUCAUGCCAUUCACCGUCAUCAUUCAGAUGACUUUUCUUGUUUACACUGCUGUCUGGCACCUCCCUUUUUGCUAAUCCUUCCAGGUAUGUGGAUCCACCAUAGGGGGACACUCCAGAGUUUUCUUGUUCAAAAUUCAGGUUUUAAACUGUCUUACCUUUAGUGAUGAUUGAGCUAGUCUGGUCUCCAGCCUCCUUUGUGAAGAGAAGUCCUGUUCCCUCAUCAUAGUCUCCCACCCCUGAGGUGAAGGGAAAGGGUGCCAUUCCUUCAAGUUUCCUGUCCUAUCUCCUGACUUGGAGGAAGGAGAGUGUCACCACUUCUGCUCCAACAUCUUGCUCCCUCACCUCAGUGGCUUCCAAGGCUUUAAAGAACUACCCUGGGGUCAUCAAACUCUGGACACUGAAAAAUGUCUUGACAUUUUUUAUUUAAUGAUUAAUCAACUCCCACUGGUCAUGUUAUUACUAUCGGAGUGAUGCUGAACUCUCACAGCUAUCAGUAUUGAAAGCUUGUUCUCUGUCACCCUGCCUGGCUUGUCUUAUUCCCAUCUGUCUCAACCCAGCACUACCUUCCCAACUCCCAGUGUCCCAUUCUUAAGCUAAUCAUCCUUUCAUUUAUGCUCUCUGGAGUGUCUGUUCCAUAGGAAACAAAUUUGAUUUCAUCUGAGAUCCUUCCUUUUCCCACUCCUUCCAUUGUCUGGUUCUCCCUGAGCCCUGGAUCCCUGCUGAUGACACAGCUUCCCUGGCCACCCUUUUAAGCACUGACUACUUUUACUCCCCUUCCCCCCCCCACCUGACUUCUGACUCCUGGUUUAAUUGGGGGAGAUGGAAAACUCCUUGUUCCCUAUUUCCAGGUUCUGUUUCUACUACUGUGAUUCAGUAACCUGUCUGGCUUUGGGCUUCGCUUAAUCCAUAUCUGCCAACCAAUCAAAAUUCAGUAGCUGUUGUUUGCUGAUUGACAAGAUGUUUCUGUUCAUUCCUCAGUAAGUUUGGUACCUGACCCAUAAUCUUUCUCCUUGCAAACUCCUGCUCUCCUACUAGGAGACUUUCAACAUACUCCCUCAAAUACCCUAACCCAGUUCUCUUCCCUUUUAUAAGUUUUUUUUUUCCUAGUUGUUUGCAUGUUGUGUCCUCAGUAAGAUAGUGAGCUUCUUGAGAGUAGGGUCUGUCUUUGCCAAGCACUAAGCUUGGCACAUGGGAAGUACUUAAUAAAAGUUUAUUGACUGACUUAUUUGAUUAAGAA
rnacentral:lncRNA from 1 species